UGCGCACGACGACGCUAAGCCUAGGAGGGUCGUCUGCACAUUCCGUGUGGACGGCAAGAGAACCAAAAGACCAGUGAUGCCGGGUACAUUGUGAGGCAUACGGUUACGUAGAACGCCGCACACAAUAAUAAUAAAAAAUACAAAAAACAUUCUACCCUGUACAAUUACGACGACAGAACUGGGAGUAACCUUUCAUAGCAAAAAAGAGUUUUGUGCUACUGAUUUUUGUUUUGUAUUGACAGCACAGGCUUCGACAUUGACAAAAAGGCUGCUACAAGCUCACUGACUGAGGUACUGGUCAUAUUUAUGGGGCAGGCGUGGCAGAAACGUUAUUAGGAAGAACCCGAGUUGGAUUCCCAAAGCUGCCUUGACACUGAGCCGCGACACCAGAUGGAUGACAGCCAUAGAAGAUUCCUGCAGGCUAUGAUGCGCAGGGGCAUUGUUGACGAACCAACUGCAAAGCAACUCCAUCAGCAUUGUUGCAGUAUCCAGAACACCGUUUAUGCCCCAGACCAAUUUGAUGACUAUAUUGAUACCAUCAACUCUAAUCUGGAGCCCAUAUUCAUGCAGAUUAGAAAAGGAAUGUGUGAAGACAGCGGUCUGCAACACUAUGCUUUGGUUAACAUGAUUGAAACGGAUGUCACCAGAAUGACGUCUGACUACGCUGAUCAUGAACUGGAGGUUUUCCGGAAAAUAAUGGACCUGGUCAUGGAUUCGGACACUGGCAGGGCCUACUCCACUGAAAUUCUCAAUUCCGCCAUCACCCUGCCCCAAAAAACAAAGAAGACAGAGACAGAACAGCUGCUCAAUCGAUUUGUGCGCGACAAUUGGCUCACUGAGAAAGAGGGCGAAUACUGCUUAUCCACCAGAUGUAUCAUCGAGAUGGAGCAAUACAUUCGCACUAUGUAUCAAGACCUGGUCAAAGUGUGCCGCAUCUGUCGCAACAUUGCCUUCCAGAGCCAAAUGUGUGAGAAUCCAACAUGUGGCAUAAAAAUGCACAACCCAUGCAUGGCCAGAUUCUUCCGAGGAACGACUGAGCCUCGGUGCCCCGCUUGUAAAGACUUUUGGCCGCAUGAGAUCCCUGUUUACAUCAUGCAUAUACAGUGGAGUGGAGUGGGAUAGGGACCGGGCCUGACUGGUACCUCAAAUAUUUACUUCCAACUCGAGAUAAAAAAUCCACCGAGCGACAGCUCGUAUCACGAAAAGCUCAAAUCGAGGAACGUCAGUAAGAAUCCAGCAAAUGAAGACCUCGAGAUCAUGUUUGUUAACAAAGUUGUAUAUGUUUGAAUAAAUCUUAUAACACAAUUGUUACUCAA